CUUCCAACGGACGCCCCCAGAGGAUCCACGCACGUCUAGGGCAGGAGCGAGAACACAACAGAGGAGCGACGGUGGAAACAGAAAAUCCACGAUCUCCAUCUCCUUCAAAAUCGGCUACCAAAUAUUCUCAAUCGGAAAACUUCCUUCGUGAUCCUUCAUGGCUCAGUGUGUGACCCUAAACUGGAUCUCCUCAACGCUUAUUUAUUCAGUCUACUCUCUACUCUUUUGCACAUCUGGUCUCAGCCUCUUGGAUCAUUUGGUCCAGAAGCCGACUGCCAUAGGGAGGCAAUGUAGCGGAGAGCAAAAAGUCUCUAACCAAGA
rnacentral:lncRNA from 1 species